UCCCGCUCCCUCUUUAUCUCCCUCUCUCUAUCUCUCUCGCUCCCUCUCGAUCUCUCUCCCUAUCACUACAAGAAAACAAAGCCCUAAUUACCCGCUCUCUCUCUCUCUCUCUCUCUCUCUCUCUCUCUCUCUGUCUCUCCAACCAGCCUCACUUUACAUUUUUGCUCGGUAGGUAUAUAGUAUUUGCAGAGCAGAGCUACUCAGAAGUGAAAAAGGUAAUUUCAAGGGUUAGGGUUUUGAUCCAUUCUCUUUUAGAGCAACUCCAAUUUUAGGGUUUCAAUCUCUACAACACUCUCCUCAUCUCUCUCUCUCGUUUCGGAGUCGGAUUCUAUAAGUCUCAGCCACGAGAAUGGGGUUCCAGAUGCACCCGUACGGAGUGCAAACGAUGCUGAAAGAAGGCCACAAGCAUCUCUCUGGCAUCGACGAAGCAGUCCUCAAGAACAUUGAUGCUUGCAAGCAACUCUCCACCAUCACCUGAACUUCGCUUGGACCGAACGGUAUGAAUAAGAUGGUCAUUAAUCAUUUGGACAAACUCUUUGUUACAAAUGAUGCUGCAACUAUUGUGAAUGAACUUGAGGUACAGCGUCCUGCUGCCAAGAUUCUUGGCAAAGCUCAACAGGAAGAAAUUGGUGAUGGAGCUAAUCUGACGAUAUCUUUUGCUGGGGAGCUUCUCCAAAAUGCGGAGAAGCUUAUUAGGAUGGGAUUGCAUCCAAGUGAAAUCAUUAGUGGCUACACAAAAGCGAUCAAUAAGACGGUUGAUAUUUUAGAUGAGUUGGUUGAAAAGGGCUCGGAAACAAUGGAUGUGCAGAACAAGGAUGAAGUUGUUUCCCGAAUGAAAGCUGUUGUGGCCAGCAAGCAGUUCUUACAAGAAGAUAUUUUGUGCCCUCUUAUUGCCGAUGCAUGCAUCCAGGUCUGCCCCAAGAACCCAGUGAACUUUAAUGUAGAUAAUGUUCGUGUCGUAAAGCUUCUUGGAGGAGGUCUGAAUAACUGUUCAAUUGUUCGUGGCAUGGUCCUGAAAACUGAUGCUGUUGGAACUAUAAAACAAAUGGAAAAUGCAAAGGUGUGCCUUUGGAAAACUAACUAUUGGUUCUUAUACCAAUACAAUAUUCUUAUACUAUAUUUGCUUCCUCACUUAUUUUCUGGUUGUAAAUAUCAUAGAGUAGACAUACAUUCCACCCAGUGCAUUGUAUUUUUUCUAUCAAGGAUCUUUUGUGUUCUUAAAUCUCUCUCUCUCUCUCUCUCUCUCUCUCUCUCUCUCUCUCUCUCUUCGUGGUUUUUUUGGUGAUGCCUUGUAUUGGAUGCCUUUGUCUGAUUUGGAUUUGGAUGUUUGAUGGAGCACAUUUACUUGCCAUUUAGUAUUGAGUGGUUUUUUGGAAGGCUUAAUGUUUCUGAAAAUGAAAAAAAAAUAAAAUUCUACUCUCUAGGAGUAUUUUCAUGCCAUUUGGCAUUGGGUAAUUUUGCGCAUCGGAAGGCUUACUGUUGUUUCCUUCUUAGCCAAUUUGGUUGAAUUGAUUUAUGUAAGCUUACUAUUGAUCAAAAGAAAUAAUAUACAUGAGCUUACGUGUCCCUGUGUGUGGUCGAAGGGGCAUGGGAUCCAAUGUUGACAGAACAAAGGUCAUUGUUAGUACUGAAACUGCCCCUCUUUUUUGUGCUGUUGAGAUCUCAUCAUGGUUCCAUGAUAUCUGUUUUUUCUAGAGGAAUUUCAAUCUUUGCUGAAAUCAUCUGCAAAUUGUUGUGGUCUUGUAUCAUGGAUAGAAUUUGUUUCCGUAAAAGCAGAUUUUGGAUCUGAACCAGCUAUAAGUACUAUAAGCAGAUUUUGACAUUUUACUUGUAAUGUAGUAAAAUGCACCAUUACUCACUUGCAUUUGUGUAUUGUAUGUUAAUAUCCCAUUACUCUCCCCUGCAUUUAUGUAUUGUAUUUUAAGGCAUGUUUAGAUGUAUUCCAGAAUGAGAAUGAAAUCGAGUAUGCAUCAGCUGGUGCACAUUCACUGGAUUGGAGCUGUUUGGUGCAUCUAGAAAAAUAUUAAUAGUUGGAUGUGCUAAUGCUCGUCUGCAAAAUGUGCCAUAAAAAACAUUUCUGUUACAGGUUCAUUAUCUAUCAUUGUGCUUUCUCCAUGCAGAGACCUCAGCUUUAACAGCCUGACUGGCGAUAUUCCAAGCUCCUUUGAAGGCCUUGAUUGUUUGUUUGUUUUGUUUUGUUUUGUUUUUUUUUUUUUUUUUAAAUUUUUGCACAUGCUAUACCCAUUAGCAUUUAGUGCCAUUAUGCUAAUUGUAGUAGAUGAUUUAGCUGCAAACCACGAUGUUAUGCAGAUAGUAGAGGUACCAAUUAAGAAGAUUUAUCUUUUUAAAACUAGUUUAUUGCAAUUAUUGUGAUCUAUCCUAGAUGUUUAUUUGUGUGCUCUAUGGCUGUGGCGCAGAAUUGUUGACUUUCUUGGAAUUUUGAAUUGAGAAGCUUUUUAGGAGUCUGAAACUGAAUUGAAUUGCGAUUAGCAUGAAUUGUGAACAACUCAUCUACUGAUUAUUUUUGGUUCUUUCAUGGUUUCAAAGCAAUAUGCCACUGAAUCUUUUAUGCUUUUAGAGAACUAGGCUAUUAUAUCCAUAACUUACCUUCUUUAAAAAAGAAAAAAGAAAAAAAAAGAAAGAAGAUGAACAAGAGGUGAUGGCAAGGGUAACCUUUGCUAAUAUUCGCAUUGUUAACAAGCUCUUGAAGGGAGAAGCCAAAGACAGUUCACAUUCUAAUAGGCGAGAAGCUAUAUGUUUUUUAUACGGCGAUGGUGAGUUCAUUGAUAUCAAAUUAUGCUAUUUUUUUUCACUUAGCUACAUUUUUUCUUCAUUGCUUCCUUUCACUUUUUACAAUGACUGAUCCCCUGAAACUGCUGUAGUUUACAAGUAUUUUGCUUUGAAAAUUGUUUUUAAGGGAAAAAAUGGAAAUAGAUUCUUUAGGCAAGAAAAGGUUGUAGCAUACAACCACCUAUAGGUGAUUGGUUCUCUUUAAAAUUUAGUCCUAUUAGGACCUCUAUCUGUUACUUAUGGUCUAUGAAUGUAGAGCAGUAUCAAGAGGCAUUCCCCUACAGUUUGAUAUGUUAUAAACUAAAAGCAUGUUAUCAAUAUGGCGUUUCAGAGGUACAAGGCUCAUAGCCAUGACACCAUUGUCUUGGCUGGAGUUGAGUAUGGAAGUGGAAGCUCUCAAGAUUGGGUUGCCAAGGUUCCAAUGUUGUUGGGUCAUAAUGUUGUGUUGAUCUCCAACCAUCAGACAGAAGCUGAACCAAUGAUAAUUGCCUUGUUGCUUGAGACAUUACACCCUCAUGUUGCUGAGAAGAUGGUAUGCUACUUUGUUGUUUGUUUUAUUCUAGGCCACUGAAUGAAAAGACAAUCAUGAUUGUUCUUAUUGACUAAAUAUUGUGCUUUGUACCACAGACCUAUGUUGCUGGAGAUAGGGUUGUGACAGAUCCUGUUUGCAAGCCCUUCAGCAUGGGAAGGUGCUCAUGAAGCUUAGUGAUUUGCAGUGGAGAAAUACAUAUCUUGUGAUUUGACUAUAUUUAUUGAACUCUCACAAUGUUUAUUACUGCAUACUGUUUUGUGCCAGAAAUCUUGUCUGUGUAUACUCAAAGAAGCACAUGCAUGACAUUCCUGAGCUUGCUGAGAUGAAAAAGAAAGCCAAUACCCUGAGCCUUAAGGAAAUGGCUCUGCUUUUAAGGUCAUCUACAUGGCAGGGCCCACCUAAUGCACGGGCUA